rnacentral:rRNA from 1 species
UGGGGGAUAUUGCACAAUGGGCGAAAGCCUGAUGCAGCGACGCCGCGUGGGGGAUGAAGGCUUUCGGGUUGUAAACCUCUUUCGCUAUCGAACAAGGCCCGCUUAGGGUGGGUUGAGGGUAGGUGGAGAAGAAGCGCCGGCUAACUACGUGCCAGCAGCCGCGGUAAUACGUAGGGCGCGAGCGUUGUCCGGAAUUAUUGGGCGUAAAGGGCUUGUAGGCGGCUUGUUGCGCCUGCUGUGAAAACGCGGGGCUUAACUUCGCGCGUGCAGUGGGUACGGGCAGGCUUGAGUGUGGUAGGGGUGACUGGAUUUCCAGGUGUAGCGGUGGAAUGCGCAGAUAUCUGGAGGAACACCGAUGGCGAAGGCAGGUCACUGGGCCAUUACUGACGCUGAGGAGCGAAAGCAUGGGUAGCGAACAGG